rnacentral:rRNA from 1 species
CCUACGGGGGGCAGCAGUGGGGAAUAUUGGACAAUGGGGGGAACCCUGAUCCAGCGACGCCGCGUGAGUGAAGAAGUAUUUCGGUAUGUAAAGCUCUAUCAGCAGGGAAGAAAGAAAUGACGGUACCUGACUAAGAAGCCCCGGCUAACUACGUGCCAGCAGCCGCGGUAAUACGUAGGGGGCAAGCGUUAUCCGGAUUUACUGGGUGUACAGGGAGCGUAGACGGCGAUGCAAGUCUGAAGUGAAAGGCGGGGGCCCAACCCCCGGACUGCUUUGGAAACUGUAGGGCUGGAGUGCAGGAGAGGUAAGGGGAAUUUCUAGUGUAGCGGUGAAAUGCGGAGAUAUUAGGAGGAACACCAGUGGCGAAGGCGGCUUACUGGACUGUAACUGACGUUGAGGCUCGAAAGCGUGGGGAGCAAACAGGAUUAGAUACCCGUGUAGUC